AACGAACGCUGGCGGCAUGCCUAACACAUGCAAGUCGAACGAUCCCUUCGGGGAUAGUGGCGCACGGGUGCGUAACGCGUGGGAACCUGCCCUUAGGUUCGGAAUAACUCAGAGAAAUGUGUGCUAAUACCGGAUAAUGUCUUCGGACCAAAGAUUUAUCGCCUUUGGAUGGGCCCGCGUUGGAUUAGCUAGUUGGUGGGGUAAAGGCCUACCAAGGCGACGAUCCAUAGCUGGUCUGAGAGGAUGAUCAGCCACACUGGGACUGAGACACGGCCCAGACUCCUACGGGAGGCAGCAGUGGGGAAUAUUGGACAAUGGGCGAAAGCCUGAUCCAGCAAUGCCGCGUGAGUGAUGAAGGCCUUAGGGUUGUAAAGCUCUUUUACCCGGGAUGAUAAUGACAGUACCGGGAGAAUAAGCCCCGGCUAACUCCGUG
rnacentral:rRNA from 1 species